rnacentral:rRNA from 1 species
GACAGAGGGGGCGAGCGUUGCCCGGAUUUACUGGGCGUAAAGCGCGCGUAGGCGGCUGCGUAAGUGGGGAGUUAAAGCCCUCGGCUCAACCGAGGAAACGCUCCUCAAACUGCGCGGCUUGAGUGUAGGAGAGGGGAGUGGAAUUCCCGGUGUAGCGGUGAAAUGUGUUGAUAUCGGGAGGAACACCGGUGGCGAAGGCGGCUCCCUGGCCUACCACUGACGCUGAGGCGCGAAAGCGUGGGGAGCGAACGGG